GUGCUUAAAAGAACCAUCAAUUGUGUUCAGUUCUUCGCUUGUUGACCCAUGUUUCUCUACUUUUCUCUCUAUUUGUAUACAUAUUAAUCUAAGGUUGGCUCAUGUUUAUGCCAGAGAUCUCUUUGUAGCAUCGUGGUUAAAAUAUCAGAAUAGAAUUGAACUUUUAGCGUGGUGUACAGGUCUUCUAUGCAUCUAGCAGGUGAGUAGACUAGUGGUUGUUUGUUGCACAUCUGGGAUCAAUUGAAGUAAAUUCAAGUUUUUUUUUUCUUCAGAAUCCUAGAAAUGGUUAUCUGUUUGGUGGCCAAGGGUUUGUUUUGAUACAUCCAUAUGCCUGUCAUGCUGCAAGUGCAGUGAUUGCAUUAGCCAUAGUAGGUUGGUAGAUGUGACUGUCUCUAGCCUGAUUAAUGGGAUUCAAAUUCCAGUUGCGGUCGAUCAGUAGCUGGCUCUGUUUCAAGAUCUGGCUGCUAUGGUGAAUCUCUACGUUGGCUACUGAGUCUUCCCUUUGUCAAGCUGCAGGUGUUGUGGCUGUUUGAGGAUGAUGCAGUUUUUUUUUUUUUUGCUUCCAAUAUAUAUGCAGUUGGAUCUACCUCUGAUGAUGGGAUUCAUCUGCUAGACUUCUACCCAGACUCCACCUCAGCAUGCCAUGUGGAUUUCAAGUGAGCAAUAUCCAAAUCUAGUUAUCUACAGUUAUGAAGUUAUAUAGGCAAUUGAUCCCACCAUAAAGAUCACAUCUGUAUGUUGAGUCAGAACAUUGCUUAUCCAUCUGUUUUGAUGGCGUGACCUACUUCAUGAGUGGAUCAACUGAUUUUUGCUUCAGGUGACUUUCAUGAUGGGGCCUACCACUUGCAUGCUUUUCCCACAGGUGACUCAUUAGCAAGAAAGAUGGAGAUGCAUUUUCUACACAAGGGCAAUGAGAGGAAUUUCAGCCUCAAGCUUUUAUUGAUAAAGCAAGAUUUUCUGCAUUCACAUGUUUUUGUGGAUCGUUACUUGUGACAAACUACUCGUGAAAUUCCUGCAAAUCCAUAGAACUCAGGAAUCAGGCCUCCUACUUUGAAUAUCUUCCCAUCUGAGCCCAUGCAUGUAGAGCCACCUGCCAAGGUGGGUUUAGGUUUUGUGUCUCCAACAAGCGGUGGUUCUAAGAGAGCAUCAGAGGCCUCAACCAGGGAAAGACACCACUAAAUAUUUAGAAAAUUAAAUAUUAAAAUCAGUCUAAGCCUCUCAGGUCAAUAAAAUCAUCAAGCAUACCAAUCAUUUUGGAAAGGGGAAACCUGCAAUCCAUGGCACAAUAUACUUAAAACUUGUGGGAUGCUAGAAAUUCCAUCUAAGUUCCCUCUAUCUGAUGGGCGAAGUUUAUCAAUUAUAGGUAGCAGUUCAUUUGCUGACAAAAGAAAUAGACAAAGGAUAGACCUGGAAAAAAAAAUGAAAACAAAAAUAUAUAUCAAAUGAAACUUUUAUCCUUUUCUUCAAUAGUAAGGUGGCUCAAGAUCUGUUAGAUUUUCAACAUUAAGGUAUAGUAAUGAAGAAGAGGAGACUAAGCAAUUCGAAUAUGGUAUAUAUGUAACUUUUGUCCACCUUCACAAUGGGACAAAGAUCUUCAAACGAAUUAGAUUCAGGACAGGAUUUCACACUGGAUGAUCCCUUCAUUUUGUCUUGUUGUCCUUGGCUUUUCCUUGAAUUUUUGCAGAAUGCAUGUGAACAAGGUCUUCUACACUUUUAGUUACACGUGUUACCGUUGGUGCAGCUGGCAUUCUCUUUGCUGGAACUUACGUGCUGGUUAGACCACCUUCCCUCGACCUUUUCUUUUUCUUUUUUUUACUUUAUCAUCCAACCAGAUUGGAAU